GAGUGAGAGAGUGCCUAGAGUAGGAGAGUGAUCUUCAACCAAUUGUCCACCAAUUCUUGCUCAAACAUUGGAAGAUUAUCAAGUAAAAACUCAUUAGGUCUUCAUUCUAAAGGUAAGAUUCUGCACAAUAGCCCAUAAUUUCGAAAUUUAACUAAAAAUGGGUAGUUAGCAAGUUAAUUCAUGGGGAUGGGAGUUGUUCAUCUUGUAUGCAUGUGUUAACAAAGGGUAUAUGAAGAUUGUGAGCUAAAAUUGAUAAGGAAUGGG
rnacentral:lncRNA from 1 species